GCGGGAUGGAGCAGUCUGGUAGCUCGUCGGGCUCAUAACCCGAAGGUCGUAGGUUCAAAUCCUGCUCCCGC
rnacentral:tRNA from 2 species